ACGGGUGAGUAACACGUGAGUAACCUGCCCCAGACUUUGGGAUAACAGUUGGAAACGAUUGCUAAUACUGGAUAUGAGCUGCUGCUGCAUGGUGGUGGUUUGAAAGUUCCGGCGGUUUGGGAUGGGCUCGCGGCCUAUCAGCUUGUUGGUGAGGUGAUGGCUCACCAAGGCUUCGACGGGUAGCCGGCCUGAGAGGGCGACCGGCCACAUUGGGACUGAGAUACGGCCCAGACUCCUACGGGAGGCAGCAGUGGGGAAUAUUGCACAAUGGACGGAAGUCUGAUGCAGCAACGCCGCGUGCGGGAUGACGGCCUUCGGGUUGUAAACCGCUUUCAUCCAUGACGAAGCUUUUGUGACGGUAGUGGGUAAAGAAGCACCGGCUAACUACGUGCCAGCAGCCGCGGUGAUACGUAGGGUGCGAGCGUUGUCCGGAUUUAUUGGGCGUAAAGAGCUUGUAGGCGGUUUGUCGCGUCGGGAGUGAAAACUUAAGGCUUAACUUUGAGCUUGCUUUCGAUACGGGCUGACUUGAGGGAGGUAGGGGAGAAUGGAAUUCCUGGUGGAGCGGUGGAAUGCGCAGAUAUCAGGAGGAACACCGGUGGCGAAGGCGGUUCUCUGGACCUUUCCUGACGCUGAGAAGCGAAAGCGUGGGGAGCAAACAGGCUUAGAUACCCUGGUAGUCCACGCUGUAAACG
rnacentral:rRNA from 1 species